rnacentral:rRNA from 1 species
AUUAAUAGUUUUGGUCUUUAAAAUUAAAAAAUAUGGCGGUAUUUUAGUCUUUUCAGAGGAACCUGUUCUAUAAUUGAUAAUCCACGAUUAAAUACACUUUUUUUAGUAAUUUUUAUAUCGUCGUUAAAAAUAUUUUAUAAAAUUAUAUUUAUUAAUUUUAUUUAAAAUUUAAAUCAGAUCAAGGUAAAGUUUAUAAAAAAGAAGAAAUGGGUUACAUUUAUGGAUUUAAUUAAUAAUAAAUUUAAUGAAAUAGGAUUUGAAAGUAAAUUUAAAUAU